rnacentral:lncRNA from 1 species
GAAUUAUACAUAGUGACAGUCUGUCGGCAGGGAGGAAGACGUAUUUCCUGAGGAAGCUCUUGCUGGUGUGUGUUAGUUAAUUUUAUGAAGCGAUUCUUCAAAUCAGUAGAUGAAUGGUCAAUAUUCGGCGUUCAGCAUUCAUUCUUACAGAGACAUUUUAUGACGUUACCAUAAAAUUCUGGUGAGACAGGCAAUGGACAUCUAAGGCACUGCUUUCUGCAUCUCCAGAUAUGUAUCAUUGAUGAGAAGAGAUCUCCAUUCAACAGUUCCCUCUUCCCUUCCAGAUCCUGUGGCUGCAACUUGCUGCUGAACUGCAGUCGUGGUUGUCUUCGUGCAAGUGCUCACAAAACACAGGACAUCAAACUCCUUCUGCAUGCAGCCUUUCCUCCCGUGCCCAGGAGCAACCCAGCAGUUAGAGAACGCUCAUCCUUGGAAAACCUCUGUCCCACCAUCAAUUUUUUUCCUUUUCCUGAAAAAUUAGUUAGAGCAUGGGAAAUAAACUUCAUGAAG